rnacentral:misc_RNA from 1 species
UCCGGUUUGUCACCGGCAGUCUCCCUAGAGUGCCCUUGCGUAGCAACUAGGGACAAGGGUUGCGCUCGUUGCGGGACUUAACCCAACAUCUCACGACACGAGCUGACGACAGCCAUGCAGCACCUGUGUUCCGGUUCCCUUUCGGGCACCCCCGCCUUUCAGCAGGCUUCCGGACAUGUCAAGGGUAGGUAAGGUUGUUCGCGUUGCAUCGAAUUAAUCCACAUCAUCCACCGCUUGUGCGGGUCCCCGUCAAUUCCUUUGAGUUUUAACCUUGCGGCCGUACUCCCCAGGCGGUCGACUUCACGCGAAGAACCUUACCUGGGCUUGACAUGCACGUGGUACGGAGCCGAAAGG